rnacentral:lncRNA from 1 species
AGGAAGUGAAUCUUCACAGGGAAGGAAGCAACAAAACUCUGCCUUUGGCUUUUGCUGGCUGAGCAGGGAAAGGCCUAUAGACACAGGGCAUUGGGCAGGAGCUAGAACAGCCCUCCCUAGAGCACUACAUAAAGCAGCCAAUAUUUUGCAAAGCAUAGGGAAGAGUGAAAGUCAUCCGGGGCAUUUGCAGACACAGCACUAAGAACUUGGUGACAACAGCCCUGAAGCAAAACAGCAGCAUGUACUGGGCAGGGCUUGGGAGAUAAGACAGGACAUCUGAAGCUAAACAUGAGUUGUAAAAUAGCUCAAAGACGAUGAAAGGCAAUAACCUGGAAAAGUGUACCGGACAAAAAACCCAGAUCCCCUCUGAAAGCUACAAUCAAAGUGUCAUCCACAAAAUCUUAUCUCAAGCCUUGACUAGAGAAGGACCCACUUCCAAGACCACAGAGUUGAAUGAAUUCAGUCCUUGCAGCCCGUUGAACUGAGGGCCUCCCCAACAUGCUCACCUGCUUCAUCAAAGCCUGCGAGAGAGAGAGUCCACUAGCAAGAGGACAUUGCAGUCUUAUCUAAUGCAAUCACUGAAGUGACAUCCUGUCACCUUGGUCACCUUUUCUAUUCUAUUCAUUAUAAAUGAGUCCCAAGUCCUGCCACACUCAAGUGGAGGGGAUUACACAGGGCUGGAGUACCAGCGGUGGGGAUAAUUUGGGGUCAUCUUAGAGUUCUUCCAUCACACGGGAAUUCUCAGCUCACCAAAUCUGGGAUUCCGCAUCUGGCCAUUCCUUAAG